AAUGGGACAAUGGGACAAUAAUGGGACAAUGGGACAAUGGGACAAUGGGACAAUGGGACAAUAAUGGGACAAUGGGACAAUGGGACAAUGGGACAAUGGGACAAUGGGACAAUAAUGGGACAAUGGGACAAUGGGGGACAAUGGGCUAAUGGGGACAAUGGGGGACAAUGGGACAAUGGGGGACAAUGGGACAAUGGGGACAAUGGGGGACAAUGGGGACAAUGGAGGACAAUGGGACAAUGGGACAAUGUGGUAAUGGGACAAUGGGAUAAUGGACAAUGGGGGACAGUGGGACAAUGGGGGAUGAUGGGACAAUGGGGGACAAUGAGACAAUGGGAUAAUGGGAAAAUGGGAGAAUGGGAGAAUGGGGACAAUGGGAUAAUGGGAUAAUGGGCACAAUGGGGGUCAAUGGGACAAUGGGACAAUGGGAUAAUGGGAUAAUGGGCACAAUGUGGCAUAAUGGGGGACAAUGAGACAAUGGGGACAAUGGAAUAAUGGGGACAAUGGGACAAUGGGACAAUGGGACAAUGGGGACAAUGGGGACAAUGGGGGAUGAUGGGGACAAUGGGAUAAUGGGGACAAUGGGACAAUGGGACAAUGGGGACAAUGGGGGAUGAUGGGGACAAGGGGGACAAUGGGGAAAAUGGGACAAUGAGACAAUGGGGACAAUGGGGGAUGAUGGGGACAAUGGGGACAAUGGGACAAUGGGGGCAUUGGGGAACAAUGGGGGAACAAUGGGGGACAAUGGGAUGGGGACAAUGGGGUGAUGGCAAUAGAGUGGUGUCAGUGGGGUGUUGGUAAUGGGAUGGUGGUAAUGGGAUCAUGGUGGUAAUGGGAUCAUGGUUGUAAUGGGAUCAUGGUGGUAAUGGGAUCAUGGUGGUAAUGGGAUCAUGGUGGUAAUAAUGGGAUCAUGGUUGUAAUGGGACCAUGGUGGUAAUGGGAUCAUGGUNCUACGUGGGAGACCCGCGAAAGUGGGGACCCCCCCCCAAGUGACCUCCCCAAAUAAUGGACCUCUAUAAAGGGGACCC
rnacentral:lncRNA from 1 species